ACACCAGGAUUUAAGCAGCACCCACAAAAUUUUAGGAGAAAAAUAUAUUUUUCCACGUAUUGGCUCACAUCGAACUAUGAGCCACAGUUAUAUACGUUAUGAAUUGACUUAUUUACACAAAAAUAUUUUGUAAAUGUUUAUUUUUAUACCUUAAUUAUUUACAAACAGUGUCUGUAACACGGCAGUAAACGGCUGAUCAAACACAGCUGUGGAACCUAGCUCUCCAUCAGCUAAAAUGACUGAAUCAGUCCACAGUGAUAUUUUUGUGAAUUUAUUGAGGAAUUUGUGAAACGAGUGACCAUGCCAGGAUUAAGAUGACUAAACUCAAAGGACAUGGUUUCUAAAUAUGAAAAUAAACAAACAGUAAAACAUUGUAAACAUGUAAUAUUCAUGGCAAUGUUCCCAACAGUUCAUUCCAGACCGUCUGCUUAGUGUCGCCCUCACAGCCUGCUUUCUUUUGGUUCUUGCUCACUGCUCUGAGGGAAGGGGCCUGUCAGUCACAUGAUGAUGUGUUGCUCUUUCAAAACAAAAUCAUGUAUACCUCCGCGGUAUAUUUUUGGGGGACUAAUGUGUCUUGCUCCAAAAGAGGAAGUAUUGAAGUGUCACAUUUCCCCCAGUACUACACCUAUGUAUGUGAUGUGUUUGUGAAGUGCCUCCCUCUUUGGGAUUAGGCCCCGCCUCCUCAGCCACCAAGUCAGAUUGCACACAGCACAAGAGUGCAAACAUGAAACGUGCAUUGGUGUGUGUGCUGAUGGCUGCUUGGAGCCUUGGAUGUGGCAGCCAGACGGUGCACCAGCCAGCAGAGAAUGUGUACGCCAUGAAAGGCGACUCAGUGACGCUGGAGUGCAGCUAUGAAAACUCUGGAGGCAACGACUACAUCUUCUGGUACAAACAGGACGGGCAAGCGGCACCAAAGUUCAUCCUGAGCCUCUCCAUCAGGAGUCAGGGCAAGACUGAGAGCAGCUUUGAAAAGAGGUUCAGCUGCAGCAUCAAUGACACCGCCAAGCGAGCUCCUCUGAAGAUCCAAGACGUGCAGCUGAGCGACUCUGCAGUCUUCUACUGCGCCAUUCAGCCCACAAUGACUGACAUCGCUGCUGCACCCACACAAAAACCUCUGUAGGCUCCUCAUCCCACUGUGGCUGUUUGAGAGCUGGUUCUGAGGAGGUUUUCACAGCUUUUGUCGUUGUCAGGACAUCACAGGGGUGGCGAACUGGAGAUGUUUUUUGCUUCUCACCAGACUCCAAAACUUUGCUGGGCUUAACCAUUAAUUUUUACAUCAGUCCCUCAAAGAUUUUGCGAUGUUGCCAAUUCACACAAAUUCAAUAAGUAUGCGUGCCCCUUGACUUGAUCCAAUCCCCCCAGUUUUGCCACACAAUUUGGCCUAUCAUUACAUUACGAUAGCACAUAUACAUAAGCAUGAAAACACUUCUACAGACAUCACAUGUGGGACGGUUGAAUAAGUAAGAAUUGUUUCAGUUAAACUGUGAAACUUACAAAUGUUGCUUGGAGUGAUAAAUGAAGAAUAUUUUUGUGCUAAAACA